rnacentral:rRNA from 1 species
AGCAGCCGCGGUAAUUCCAGCUCCAAUAGCGUAUAUUAAAGUUGUUGCAGUUAAAAAGCUCGUAGUUGAAUUUCGGGAUCAUCAGGUCGGUCGUGCCUCCGGUAUGUACUGGUCUCGAUGGUUCCUCCUUCUUGUAGAACCGUAAUGCCAUUAAUUUGGUGUUGCGGGGAAACAGGACUGUUACUUUGAAAAAUUAGAGUGUUUAAAGCAGGCGAUCGCUUGAAUACAUUAGCAUGGAAUAAUGAAAUAGGACGUUCGAUCCUAUUUUGUUGGUUUCUAGGAUUGACGUAAUGAUUAAUAGGGAUAGUUGGGGGCAUUAGUAUUCAAUUGUCAGAGGUGAAAUUCUUGGAUUUAUUGAAGACUAACUACUGCGAAAGCAUUUGCCAAGGAUGUUUUCAUUAAUCAAGAACGAAAGUUAGGGGAUCGAAGACGAUCAGAUACCGUCGUAGUCUUAAC